GUAGCGGCGAGCGAAGCGGGAAGAGCUCAAAUUUAUAAUCUGGCACCUUCGGUGUCCGAGUUGUAAUCUCUAGAAGUGUUUUCCGCGUUGGACCGCACACAAGUCUGUUGGAAUACAGCGGCAUAGUGGUGAAACCCCCGUAUAUGGUGCGGACGCCCAGCGCUUUGUGAUACACUUUCAAUGAGUCGAGUUGUUUGGGAAUGCAGCUCAAAUUGGGUGGUAAAUUCCAUCUAAAGCUAAAUAUUGGCGAGAGACCGAUAGCGAACAAGUACCGUGAGGGAAAGAUGAAAAGCACUUUGGAAAGAGAGUUAACAGUACGUGAAAUUGUUGGAAGGGAAACGCUUGAAGUCAGACUUGCUUGCCGGAGCUUGCUUCGGUUUGCAGGCCAGCAUCAGUUUUCCGGGGUGGAUAAUGACGGUUUGAAGGUAGCAGUCUCGGCUGUGUUAUAGCUUUCCGUUGGAUACAUCCUGGGGGACUGAGGAACGCAGCGUGCUUUUUGCGAAAGACUCGUCUUUUUCACGCUUAGGAUGCUGGUGGAAUGGCUUUAAACGACCCGUC
rnacentral:rRNA from 1 species